AUGCUUGCUUCGUUGCAUUAUAAACUGAUUACUAAGGUUCUUACUAUUAGGCUGGAACCUUUUGUUGAUAUCCUAUUUAGUAGACAUCAAAAUGCUUUGAUUAAGAAAUGAGAUAUCAUGGAUGGGAUUAUGUGUUUACAUGACAUCCUUCAUCACUCUUAUGCUAGGAAAAGAACUGGAAUUGUGCUUAAACUAGACUUCGAGAAAGCGUAUGACAAAGUAAAUUGGGAAUUCUUGUUGGAUUGUCAUAACAUGAGAGAUUUUAAUCCUCAAUGGAUUGAGUGGAUUAGAAAAAUCUUAGUAGUGGGCACGGUUAGUGUGAAGCUGAAUGAUGAGAUUGGACCUUACUUUCAAAGUUUGAAAGGUGUGCAUCCACGGGACCCACUCUCCCCUUUCCUGUUUAACCUUAUUGCAGAUUACUUAAUGAAGAUGGUCCUUAAAGCCUAA
rnacentral:rRNA from 1 species